rnacentral:misc_RNA from 1 species
UGUAGGAGCGGGCUUGCUCGCGAUAGCGCUGUAUCGCAUGACCGACCCACCACAUUCGCGGGCAAGCCCGCUCCCACA